CAAUAGCGUAUAUUAAAGUUGUUGCAGUUAAAAAGCUCGUAGUUGAAUUUCGGGGUUAGUAGGUUGGUCAUGCCUCUGGUAUGUACUGGUCUCACUGAUUCCUCCUUCCUGAUGAGCCGUAAUGCCAUUAAUUUGGUGUUGCGGGGAAUUUGGACUGUUACUUUGAAAAAAUUAGAGUGUUUAAAGCAAGCUAACGCUUGAAUACAUUAGCAUGGAAUAAUGAAAUAGGACGUUCGAUCCUAUUUUGUUGGUUUCUAGGAUUGACGUAAUGAUUAAUAGGGAUAGUUGGGGGCAUUAGUAUUCAAUUGUCAGAGGUGAAAUUCUUGGAUUUAUUGAAGACUAACUACUGCGAAAGCAUUUGCCAAGGAUGUUUUCAUUAAUCAAGAACGAAAGUUAGGGGAUCGAAGACGAUCAGAUACCGUCGUAGUCUUAACCAUAAACUAUGCCGACUAGGGAUCGGAUGAUGUUAAUUUUUUAAUGACUCAUUCGGCG
rnacentral:rRNA from 1 species